AAACUCAUGUUGUCUGUGUCGUCUUAGCUUUAUAAUGAAAAUUGAUAAAACUUUCAACAACGGAUCUCUUGGCUCUGGCAUCGAUGAAGAACGCAGCGAAAUGCGAUAAGUAAUGUGAAUUGCAGAAUUUAGUGAAUCAUCGAAUCUUUGAACGCACAUUGCGCCCCUUGGUAUUCCGAGGGGCAUGCCUGUUCGAGCGUC
rnacentral:rRNA from 1 species